rnacentral:rRNA from 1 species
UACGUAGGGAGCAAGCGUUGUCCGGAAUCAUUGGGCGUAAAGAGCGUGUAGGCGGCCAAGCAGGUCCGUUGUGAAAACUGGAGGCUUAACCUCCAGACGUCGACGGAAACCGCGCGGCUAGAGUCCGGAAGAGGAGAGUGGAAUUCCUGGUGUAGCGGUGAAAUGCGCAGAUAUCAGGAGGAACACCCGUAGCGAAGGCGGCACUCUGGGCCGAUUCUGACACUGAGGAGCGAAAGCGUGGGGAGCGAACAGG